AAAGAAAGAAAGAAAGAAAGAAAGAAAGAAAGAAAGAAAGAAAGAAAGAACGAACGAACGAACGAACUACAAAGGAACACCAGGUUCCCUUUGGUCUAUGAACUCCGCCCUCCAGGUAACCUCGUGAACACGCCACGUCGUCGCGGUCUCCUGCAUCCCUCACCGGCUAGCUGGCGGCACGCUCGACCUCCCUCUGCCCGGCUCGGAGGACUGAGGAUCGGAGCCCCGCGGCGCAUGCGUGGGGAAGCCAGGGCUUCGAGGUGGGGGGGCGUUGCCACGAGGGGGCCCCCGGGUGAGGAUCCACCGGAAAGGACCCCUGUCGGACGAAGGAACCAGGAGAGGGUCCACGCGGGAGAAGGGGUUACGGUCGGUCCCUCCCUCUAAGGUUCCAGAUUUGGUAAAUACAGGACGCCCAGUACAA